CCUACGGGUGGCAGCAGUGAGGAAUAUUGGUCAAUGGACGCAAGUCUGAACCAGCCAUGCCGCGUGCAGGAAGACGGCUCUAUGAGUUGUAAACUGCUUUUGUACGAGGGUAAACGCAGAUACGCGUAUCUGUCUGAAAGUAUCGUACGAAUAAGGAUCGGCUAACUCCGUGCCAGCAGCCGCGGUAAUACGGAGGAUUCAAGCGUUAUCCGGAUUUAUUGGGUUUAAAGGGUGCGCAGGCGGAGGGUAAAGUCAGCGGUAAAAUUGCGGGGCUCAACCCCGUACUGCCGUUGAAACUGUGUGCCUAGAGUGGGCGAGAAGUAUGCGGAAUGCGUGGUGUAGCGGUGAAAUGCAUAGAGAUCACGCAGAACUCCGAUUGCGAAGGCAGCAUACCGGCGCGCAACUGACGCUGAAGCACGAAAGCGUGGGUAUCGAACAGGAUUAGAUACUCGAGUAGUC
rnacentral:rRNA from 1 species